UAAAAAUCGUAUUGUUUCAGAUUUUCAAGCUAAAUAAGUAGUUGAUAAAAGCAAAUCCUACGAUACGUGUUAAAUAAAAUCAAAUAAAAUUAGGACACAGAUGGGAAUUUCAUAAUAACGUAAAAAUGCGAGAGAAUAAGUAGACUUUUGGAGCUCACUACUAGCAGACGUUUUCUUGAGCAAAUUUCAAAACAACAAAUCGGAGCAAUAUUCAGCAAUAAGUAUUACACCCAUUUGGAACCAGCGCUGUGGUGUGCAGCAGCAAUCCACAUUGCAGGAGGAUUUAAACAUUUCAGCCAAAAGUUACAAAGAACAAGAAGAAGAGUGCGUGCAGUGGUUGUGGCGCUUCGCAGUGUUUGCGCGAGGGAAGCCAUUGUAAGCAAGUAAAUGCAGCAUUAACAAGUAUACGAAGAAAGAAUGAAGGAAGACACGAUGUAGACACGCGAGCCGAGCAUAAGUCGGCUUAAGUAUUACUUAAGUACAAAGGGUCGUCGGUCGUCGCUCUUCGCGCAGUCUAUAUGAACUGAACAUCUAUGUUUAUGUAGGUGGUAGGUGGUACGUGAGUUUGCACCCGAAUACCCGAUCUUCACUUGCAACCUGCGCAGUGUAUAUAUAGCGCUCAGGCGGCUCAGGCUCAGCUUGGCCCUUGAAACUUGGAACAGGAUUUUUGUCGGAGAAACUAUUCAAGUUGAGAACCUUAAUCUUCUCUUGGCAUAUUUCAGCUCCUUCGUGUCAAAUACAAAUGUGCAGUGGCACUCAAUCCCGGAGGUUGUCGUGAAUAUAAU